rnacentral:rRNA from 1 species
GACGUAGGGGGGCAGCGUUGCUCGGAAUUACUGGGCGUAAAGGGUUCGUAGGCGGUGCGGCAAGUUGGGAGUGAAAUCUCUGGGCUUAACCCAGAGGCUGCUUCCAAAACUGCCGUGCUAGAGUGCGAGAGAGGCCAGUUGAAUUGCAGGGGUAGCGGUGAAAUGCGUAGAUAUCUGCAGGAACACCCGUGCCGAAGGCGGCUGGCUGGAUCGCAACUGACGCUGAGGAACGAACGCUAGGGGAGCAAACAGG